rnacentral:lncRNA from 1 species
AAAUAGAAGAUCAUGUCCAGACUUGGGUUGGGCUGCUAUAUAUAGAGGGACCAAACUAUCAUUUGCCACCGCCUUUGCUCACUUAUUUCUCAUUCGUUAUAACUUCAUUUCGCGAAUGGCUUUUGCCUACGUGCUUGUGUGAUCAAACUCUAUACGAAAAUAUUAAGAGUGACCCUGAAAGAUCUAUGAAUUUUUAAUGACUAAUUACAGAAAAAACAAACUUUAACUAACCAACCAGAAGUCCAAAAACUAACGAAAAAUAAAAUUAAUAAUAAUAAUUUCUUGAAAAUACAUAAUACGAAAAAUUAAAUAAUGAAAUAUGGGAACGAGAUUUUAUAGCACAAACAUUCGAUGCAGUUUUCUACUUCAUCCAUCUAACUUGUAUUCUAUGGUUGAGAUCUUCAUCCAAUUCUCCGUUGUUUUGCAAGAUAGAUCCAACAUAGCGAAAGCUUUCGCUCUUUUGAUACCACAUGAGAGUUAUUAUAAUCACUAAUGAAAAUCAUGAGAGUUUUUAUUAUAGGUUCUGAUACCACAUGUAAGACUUAUAAAAUACAUAAGUUAACAAAUUAAGCUCACGAACCAUAAUCAUACAAGUAUCAAAACUAUAGAAGCAGACGAAGAAGAAGCUAUAGCAAACCUCAAUAUAGUGCAUCUUUUCAUGUAGAGAUCGACAAUGAUGAAGCCAUGAGUCUUCUAUAUCAAAUCUUCUCCUCUCUGAAAAAACCUUAAUGCUCAAAUCAACAAUAUGCAUUUUAUUUAAUAUAGAAUGUAUAUAUUGCAAGAGCAUAGGCCUAGUGUAUAUACAUGUUCAGCCCAUUUGUCUCUCCUAUUAGGAUCCAAGUGGAACACUGACAAGAAAUCCUUAUUCAACAAUGAGUACAUAAACUAGGAUGGAAAUUGUGUUUUAAUGCCUGGUAACGUUUGAAACAAUUCAAAACCUCCGUCUAUUAUGCUUCUUUGCACUUAGUUGGCUUUGAAAAUACAUUAUCAUAUUUGUAUUCUAAUAGUUGUUUGCUAAUAACACAAUGUUCACGUACAUUAGAAGGAAGAAUGACAAGAUUUGUCAUCAUUUUGUUCAGAUAUAGUCUUCUACACAUUGAGAUUCAACUGGCCAUGGCAAAAGAGCCAAAGUCAUGUUGGAUCAUUCACCUUGGAAAUUAGACUUCUAGAUGCUUUUGACUCGCAGCGGAUUGCACCUUUUUCGCUGGAUCAUAAACUAACCACAAUUUCAUUCUCUUGUAGCUAACACAAACUUGACAGAUUGCUUUUUAAGUCAUGAACAUAACUCACAGUAGUACGAGAUGCUCCAUUUAAAUGGGGAAAAAAAAAGUUACUUAUACUACCACUCAUACGAUUAUUUUCAGCUUAGUUGUGUCCAUAUAACAAAUGUUUGUUUUAAAUUCCUCCUCUUUCACAUGGUACUCCACGAAAACUUAAAUAUAUGUUUUAAGGCUAUGGUGAAUCAAACAUUGUGACUUAAAAGAUAAGAACUGAGUCCCAAACUUUGGUGCAUUGGAUUGGAGAGGUUUUUACCAAGUUUGUCAUAAAUGUCGUAGGAUCAUAAUUAGUAAGGGAAUGCACAUGUUAAGAACCUUCUCAUUUUAAGAUUCCCAACACUGUUUGUCAUCCUACAAUGUUACGCGAUGAUUUGAAUAGCUAAAAUGGAACCAAGUUUAAAAAUGUUGAUCCAUCUUACAUUCACCCAAUAAACACUUGACAACCAUCAUGUUACCCAGUUAAACAAUGAAAUCUUGACAACAAUUAUUGGACAGCUGAAAGAUUUCUAAUUUGAUUAAUUUUCUAUGGAGUUAAUCUUUGAGCGAUUUCUACUACUCAGUACUACGGUAUGGUAAUAUUCCUAUUCGCUUAGAAGUGAGAGGUCUUAGGUUUGAAUCUCGUAGAUGGCGAAUUC